rnacentral:rRNA from 1 species
AACGAACGCUGGCGGCAUGCCUAACACAUGCAAGUCGAACGAGACCUUCGGGAGUAGUUGCGCACGGGUGCGUAACGCGGGGGAACCUGCCCUUAGGUUCGGAAUAACUCCCCGAAGGGGGUGCUAAUACAGGAUAAUGUCUGCUGACCAAACAUUUAUCGCUUUUGUAUGAGCCGGCGUUGGUUUAGCUAGUUGGUAGUGUAAGAGCCUAUCAAGGCGACGAUCCAUAGCUGGUCUGAGAGGAUGAUCAGCGACACUGGGACUGAGACACGGCGCAGAAUCUUACGGGAGGCAGCAGUGCGUAAUAUUGCACAAUGGGCUAAAGCCUGAUCCAGUACUGCUGCGUGAGUGAUGAAGGCCUUAGGGUUGUACAGCUCUUUUACCCGGGAUGAUAAUGACAGUACCGGGAGAAUAAGCUCCGGCUAACUUCGUG